rnacentral:ribozyme from 1 species
UUUGCCUGCUUUUGUUUCAUAUUUUUGUUUUCGUUUUCGUUUGUUUUCAUUUUUGUGAAUGUGUUAAGAGUGGAAGAAAUUAUAAACACACACAUGAAAAGAAAAAAAGAAGUGCAGGGAUAUGCCAUUUCAAUUUAUU